UGUAGGAGAGUUUAAAUGGAUUCAGUCAUGCUUCAGCAACUGUCAAUUCAAAGGGUUUUUUUUUAAAGCUCCAAAAGUUUAAGAGGUAAAAUGGAUCCCAGAACUCAGCAACCUCACCAGGCUUGUCCCAUUUCAGGAUUUACCGAUGCAUAUUCCCAAAAUGAAAAGAUGUCACAAAAAUGGAAAUCCACAGAAUGAGAAUUUGUAAUCUAGUCCUGUUCAGAUUUGCUCCUCUUAAUAUUACAUCGCAAUUAGCUCUUGAUCUGCUGGAGGAAGAAACGCAUCUUGUACAUGCUAUGUGGAAGGACAAUAAAAUUAAUAGCAAGAAAUCUUCAUUCUGUCUACAAUGUACAAGCUAGGUUUUAGUUUGGACAUGCAAGCUAGGCAGUUGGAAACAUUACAGAAACUUCAUUGCAAAAAUAUUAGCCAAAGAUGUCUUCUUUUUUUUAUUAUGGUGCAAUGCAGGUUCAGUCUUGAAUUGUCUCUAUCUUGGAGCAUGCAACUUUAUAAAGAUUUAAAAGUGGCCUGUGUAGAAUCUUUUUAAAAAUGUGUAACCUGGUGCCAUUUAGCUCUUUGCACUAUGACUCAAUGGUGGGUUGCAAAUAUUUUACUAUUGGUUAGGGCACACUCCCACGUACACUUGCACAACGUUUUGUACAUGCACAAAGCGUCCAGGACGGUGGACGGGGCCUUUUGCCACCACUAUUACCAGUUUGGCCGAACUGGGAGCAACCUACCACUGCUAUGACUCCCAUAAACCCAAAAGGUACUAGAGGAGGUCUAUGCCAAAAUGUUUUGUUCAAGGGAGGGAAGCUUGAAGAUUUAUUUGUUUAUCUAGAAAGCUCUGACUACAGUUGCUUUCAAUUGGCAGCAUGCUUUCCUACCUUCUUAUGGUGGUAAAUCAAAAACUGUUCAGAAAACUCAGUCUAGAAUAGUCAAGUAUUGUUAAAACAUGAAAAAACAUCCCACUUCCCAAUCCCAAGACAUUAAAACACGCAGCCAUGCAAAAUGAUGAGGCAGAAGCUAAGAUAUUGAUAUUGCCCACCUAUGGUGGGCCUUAGGUUUUCCAAAUAUUUUAAAACAUGCCCCUACGAAGGCUAAAAAUGUCUAUUCUUUCUCAAGAACAUUUCCCCAUAAAUUGUCUCUGAAACAUUUUAUCUUUUACUGAUUUAUUUUGAUUAGGAGUGAGCAAAAAGUUCUCACAUACUUUGCCCUGACUUCAUUCAGGUGGAAAAUUAAAGUGAGUUAUUGGUAGUUUGAAGGGCUGAAGGUGAAAUCUUACAAAAUUGAUUGCAGGCACAUGUAUUUUUUUCCCUUGGAAAUCCCUGGUGGUAAUAUUUUCUCUUUCUGACUAUCCUUUUACUUUAUCAUACUUAUUAUGUGCUUCUUCAGCUGUUCAAUACAUUCUACACCUAAUUCACCUAGAACAUCGGUGUCAAACCCAUGGCAUCAGGUUGCUGUCAUGUGACAUUUCAUGAUGUUUUUCCCAUUCACGGAGCCGAGGUGGGCAUGAUGCAUCUGGCCCGUGUAUCACCAGUUUGACUCCUGACCCAGAAUAACACAAACUAUUCAUCCAGUUCUCCAUUUCCUCGUUUCUUAUUUGAUGGUAGAAGGGCAAUAAAUAGAGAGGCCCAUUCAUUGGUAGAUGACUUUACAGAAGCCCAGAAUUAUAGUAUAUCAUGCCAGCCCUGAUAACAAUAUAUCGUCUAUGGUUACAGAGAUUUAAAACUAUAGCGAAAAUGGUGUUUGUCCCUGUGGAUACCUCAAACUAUUUUUAAUAGAUAAAUCCAAUAAACUCCAAAAUAUCUUUUUGCUAGUUAAUCUAGUUUUUAAAUAUUUACCAUAUUUACAUUCUCUAUUCCAAUUUUUUUUAAAAUUAUAAAAACUAUUUUUAAAAAAUGGUGAUAAUACUGGACAAAUUAUUUAGCCUCUACUAAAGCCUUCAGAGUUACUGGAGUUUCAGAGGUUGCCCAAAGGUCUACAACUUAGAAUAGAAAGCUUAUUUCUUAAAUUGGUUUGAGAUUGGAGUUGAUACUCAAAGCCCUAUGCAAUGCUCUAGAAUUAGGGAGGUAUGUUUUCACACUCUGCAUGUGUAUUGCCAUAUGAGGAAGGCCUUUGGACUCUUCCAACUUCAAACAAAGUCUCCUGUGAGUCAGUAUCAACUCCAGUGAUCUCGCAGACAUGUCUAUGUUGUUUUCUUGGCAAUAAUUCAGAAGUAGUUUGCCAUUUCUUUCUUCCAAGAUGGCUUAGGACUUCCCAGUCUGGCCUACAGCUUUUCCUGUCUUGCAAUCAGGCCCAAUUCUGCUUAACUAAUGAGCCAAGCUCAGCUGAUUAGUUUAUUCAGUUAACUAAAAACACUUGCACAUUUCCCAUUAUGGUUGUUGGAAUCCUGAGUUAAUAUAUCAUAGUGGAAUUAAAAGACUAAUAAAAUCUCUCCUCUUCUAUCAAAACCUUAUGCGGUCUUAUAGAAAAGGCGGUGGCCUUCUUAUGUCCCAUUUUACUAUAUCGCAGCUUUUCUGAAUCUGAUCAUCCAUAUCCAGGGAUUUCAAACCUCUAGGAAUGCGGAAGGCAGCAGAUUGGAAAAAGAAUCAUUUAAGCGAACUCUGCUGAGUACAUUUAUUACCACAACCUUUUGGGUGAUGGAAAGUGCUAAACUAGUGAAAUAUAUUUCAAACUGAAAAAUUUUAAGCGAGAGAGAUCAUCCUACCUGUCUGCAUCACCAAGACCCAGUGAGGUGUUGCG